rnacentral:rRNA from 1 species
CCUUAGAGUUUGAUCCUGGCUCAGGAUGAACCCUAGCGGCAGGCUUAACACAUGCAAGUCGAAGGGCAACGGGGAGAGUGCUUGCACUCUCUGCCGGCGACUGGCGCACGGGUGAGUAACACAUAUGCAACCUGCCCUCCACAGGGGGACAACCUUCCGAAAGGGAGGCUAAUCCCGCGUAUAUCCCCUUGGGGGCAUCCUUGGGGGAGGAAAGGAUUACCGGUGGAGGAUGGGCAUGCGGCGCAUUAGGCAGUACGCGGGGUAACGGCCCACCUAACCGACCAUGCGUAGGGGUUCUGAGAGGAAGGUCCCCCACACUGGUACUGAGACACGGACCACACUCCUACUGGAGGCACCAGUGAGGAAUAUUGUUCAAUGGGCGGGAGCCUGAACCAGCCAAGCCGCGUGAAGGAAGAAGGCGCCAAGCGUCGUAAACUUCUUUUGUCGAGGAACAAAGGGCGCCACGUGUGGCGUUGUGAGUGUACCCGAAGAAAAAGCAUCGGCUAACUCCGUGCCAGCAGCCGCGGUAAUACGGACGAUGCAAGCGUUAUCCGCAUUUAUUGGGUUUAAAGCGCACGCAGGCGGUCCAGAAAGUCAGCGGUAAAAGCCCCGGGCUCAACCUGGGAACUGCAUCUGAUACUGGCAAGCUUGAGUCUCGUAGAGGGGGGUAGAAUUCCAGGUGUAGCGGUGAAAUGUGUAGAGAUCUGGAGGAAUACCGGUGGAGAAGGCGGCCCCCUCGACGAAGACUGACGCUCAGGUGCGAAAGCGUGGUGGAGCAACAACAGGAUUAGAUACCCUGGUAGUCCACGCAGUAAACGAUGAAUGCCGGCUGUCCGGCCCGGAAAAGGGCUGGGUGGCGAAGCGAAAGCGAUAAGCAUUCCACCUGGGGAGUACGCCGGCAACGGUGAAACUCAAAGGAAUUGACGGGGGCCCGCACAAGCGGAGGAACAUGUGGUUUAAUUCGAAGCAACGCGAAGAACCUUACCAAGUCUUGACAUCUCCCUGACCGGUGAGUAAAGUCACCUUUCCUUCGGGACAGGGAAGACAGGUGGUGCAUGGUUGUCGUCAGCUCGUGUUGUGAGAUGUUGGGUUAAGUCCCGCAACGAGCGCAACCCUUAUUCUUAGUAGCCAGCAGGUAAAGCUGGGCACUCUGGGAAGACUCCCAGGGAUAACCUGGAGGAAGGUGGGGAUGACGUCAAAUCAUCAUGCCCCUUAUGAUUUGGGCUACACACCUGCUACAAUGGCGUAAACAAAGGGAAGCAAGCGUGUGAAUGUAAGCAAAUCCCAAAAAUAACGUCUCAGUUCGGAUUGUAGUCUGCAACUCGACUACAUGAAGCUGGAAUCGCUAGUAAUCGCGAAUCAGAAUGUCGCGGUGAAUACGUUCCCGGGUCUUGUACACAAAGCCCGUCAAG